ACAAGUAUGCCGUAAUAACAGGUAACCGGGUAAAUCUUAGGCAUUUAUGCUUAUAGCACUUAAGAGUUCGAAUCUCUUUACUUGUA
rnacentral:tRNA from 1 species